UAUGUCAAAACCACUCUCGGCAAUGGAUAUCUCGACUCUAGUAUCGAUGAAGAACGUAGCGAAAUGGGAUACUUGGUGUGAAUUGUAGAAUCCAGUGCACCAUCAAGUCUCUGAAUGUAAGUUGCACUCGCGAAG
rnacentral:rRNA from 1 species